UACUUGAUAUAAAUAUGAUUACUUACAUAUAAAAGAAAAAUUUUUUGAAAUGUAAUAAAAUAGGAAUAUUUUUACGAACACUCGAGUCACUAGAUUGAUACAUAAUAUGCUUAAAUAUAUACGAAAACCGCGAAUUUUUCGGAAAAUGCCGAAUAUGUCCGAAGAUACACGAAGUUACCGGCUUAUACCCACAGCUCGUGACCCGACAUAUUGUUUUUCGUCUUUACGUGAGGUGUUCGUUUCGGUGUGAAUAAUUAAUUUAUAAUUUAGUGUAAAUAUAUAGUGUAAUAAUUAAAAGUACGUGAUCAACAUCGAUGAUUUUACACGAGGCAAUAUUAUCCAAAUCGUCGAUACCGGUAAAGGGUCUGGCGGCGGGGUAUGAGAAGCUGCGAAAUAGGAAGUAGAAUAGAAAUAUCCUUCCGUCGACGUUGGAACAAUGGCGUGGAUACGCUGUCUACGCCACUGUUCCACAAUACGGAGAGGUGAGGGACACGCGAGCACGCAGCCCAGACGAUCGGUUCUCUCUCGCGAAGAGAGGAUGAGACGUGGGAGUGGCUGGCCAUUGGCACAGAGUUACGACUCUCGGCCUCGUCAUCCGUUACUCGUUUUCCGCUUCACCCUCGUGUGUGUCCACUCCUUUCCUGCCUCUCUGACCUCGCUGCUGGAUGGACACGCCUCGCUUUGUCUACCGUGGAACGCGAUUCAAACCGCGAAACAGCCGGGGAUUGAGACAACUUCCCCGUACAGAGGAGCCGGUUCAAACUAUUCCGAGAACCGAGCGUGGAAUUCUUUGUCGUCGUAGUUUCCACUGCAAUUUUUCCGCCGCACAUUCCCUUAAACGACUCGCCGUGGAACAAU